CGGGCUUAUCACGGAGCAGAGGGAGGGACCCUGCGCUCAUCGUAGUGGCCGGCGGGUCAUUGAAUGUGAAGACUGCCUCCGAUCCGGAGUCGUUCUCCUCUACACUUGUGCUCUGGAAAUGAUAUUGAACAGUCUUGAACGUGAACGAGCGGAGAGUGAUAGAGUUCACAUGUGAAGACCCUGCUUCAGGUUAACACCCUGAAGGAGCCCGGCGUGGCAGCGACAGCGAGCACAAAGACUCUUCCAUCAUCCCGUGUCCGUGCCGGAACAUGUGAUCCCCCUGAAAGGAUGGACUUCCUCGGUUUAUCUGAUGGAGGUGUAGAGAAGGGGAGUCGCUCAACGGAUGGCAAAAGCUCUGCCGUGAUGGUCGAAGAGUCUGUUGUGCAUGAAAAUCCCAGGAGAUCAGCCGUUUUUGAGAGACUCAAACCACCCAUCUGGCAGGGAAAAACCAUUCCACAGCUAAAGACACUCAGAUCAAAUUUCUUCACCAUUCUGCUGUUUGGUCUGAACAACAACUGAACCUUCUGGCCACGCCUGCAUGCUUUUACGCAUUGAAUUGCUGCCUCCUAAUUGGCUGAUUAGAUAUUUGCAUUAAUGAGCAGGUGUAACUAAAAAAUAUAGCCACUAAAUAUAUGUGUGUAUUUGUUCAAGUUUUGUAUAAUGUAUCAGGUUAAGCAGUAAGAUCAACCAUCGCUGAUAAGAAUGUUAUAGAUUAAAGAUUAUAGACAUCUGGCAUAGUUUGCAUUUUGUUGUUUGAUUGUUUGUGGUUUUUGUAUUGCUACAUUUACGCUCUAUUCUUGGUUGGUGCAGUUGUAA